UACAGAGACUGCAAGCGUUAUUCGGAUUCACUGGGCGUAAAGGGUGCGCAGGCGGUUGCGUGUGUCAGGUGUGAAAUCUCGGGGCUUAACCCCGAAACUGCGCCUGAAACUACGUGACUAGAGCAUUGGAGAGGGUAGCGGAAUUCAUGGUGUAGCAGUGAAAUGCGUAGAUAUCAUGAGGAACACCAGAGGCGAAGGCGGCUACCUGGACAAUUGCUGACGCUCAGGCACGAAAGCGUGGGGAGCAAAAGGG
rnacentral:rRNA from 1 species